rnacentral:rRNA from 1 species
ACGGAAGGCAGCAGUGGGGGAUAUUGCACAAUGGGGGAAACCCUGAUGCAGCGACGCCGCGUGAGCGAAGAAGUAUUUCGGUAUGUAAAGCUCUAUCAGCAGGGAAGAAAAUGACGGUACCUGGCUAAGAAGCUCCGGCUAAAUACGUGCCAGCAGCCGCGGUAAUACGUAUGGAGCAAGCGUUAUCCGGAUUUACUGGGUGUAAAGGGAGCGUAGACGGUUUGCCAAGUCUGAUGUGAAAGGUGGGGGCUCAACCCCCAAACUGCAUUGGAAACUGGUAGACUAGAGUGUCGGAGAGGUAAGUGGAAUUCCUAGUGUAGCGGUGAAAUGCGUAGAUAUUAGGAGGAACACCAGUGGCGAAGGCGGCUUACUGGACGAUAACUGACGUUGAGGCUCGAAAGCGUGGGGAGCAAACAGGAUUAGAUACCCUGGUA